rnacentral:rRNA from 1 species
GACGAACGCUGGCGGCGUGCUUAACACAUGCAAGUCGAACGGAAAGGCCCCCUUGUGGGGUACUCGAGUGGCGAACGGGUGAGUAACACGUGAGUAUCCUACCCUUGACUUUGGGAUAACUUCAGGAAACUGGGGCUAAUACCGGAUAGGAGCUCCUGCUGCAUGGUGGGGGUUGGAAAGUUUCGGCGGUUGGGGAUGGACUCGCGGCUUAUCAGCUUGUUGGUGGGGUAGUGGCUCACCAAGGCUUUGACGGGUAGCCGGCCUGAGAGGGUGACCGGCCACAUUGGGACUGAGAUACGGCCCAGACUCCUACGGGAGGCAGCAGUGGGGAAUAUUGCACAAUGGGCGGAAGCCUGAUGCAGCAACGCCGCGUGCGGGAUGACGGCCUUCGGGUUGUAAACCGCUUUCGCCUGUGACGAAGCGUGAGUGACGGUAAUGGGUAAAGAAGCACCGGCUAACUACGUG